rnacentral:rRNA from 1 species
UGGGGAAUUUUGGACAAUGGGCGAAAGCCUGAUCCAGCAAUGCCGCGUGUGUGAAGAAGGCCUUCGGGUUGUAAAGCACUUUUGUCCGGAAAGAAAUGGCUCUGGUUAAUACCUGGGGUCGAUGACGGUACCGGAAGAAUAAGGACCGGCUAACUACGUGCCAGCAGCCGCGGUAAUACGUAGGGUCCAAGCGUUAAUCGGAAUUACUGGGCGUAAAGCGUGCGCAGGCGGUUGUGCAAGACCGAUGUGAAAUCCCCGAGCUUAACUUGGGAAUUGCAUUGGUGACUGCACGGCUAGAGUGUGUCAGAGGGGGGUAGAAUUCCACGUGUAGCAGUGAAAUGCGUAGAGAUGUGGAGGAAUACCGAUGGCGAAGGCAGCCCCCUGGGAUAACACUGACGCUCAUGCACGAAAGCGUGGGGAGCAAACAGGAUUAGAUACCCCUGGUAGUCCACGCCCCUAAACGAUGUCAACUAGUUGUUGGGGAUUCAUUUCCUUAGUAACGUAGCUAACGCGUGAAGUUGACCGCCUGGGGAGUACGGUCGCAAGAUUAAAAGC